rnacentral:rRNA from 2 species
AUGCGUUCAACGAGCCUAUCCUGGGCCGAGAGGCCCGGGUAAUCUUCGAAACCGCAUCGUGAUGGGGAUAGAUUAUUGCAAUUAUUAGUCUUCAACGAGGAAUGCCUAGUAAGCGCGAGUCAUCAGCUCGCGUUGAUUACGUCCCUGCCCUUUGUACACACCGCCCGUCGCUCCUACCGAUUGGGUGUGCUGGUGAAGUGUUCGGAUUGGCUUCAGCUGGUGGCAACACUGGUUGGAGCUAAGAAGAUCAUUAAACCCUCCCACCUAGAGGAAGGAGAAGUCGUAACAAGGUUUCCGUAGGUGAACCUGCGGAAGGAUCAUUG